rnacentral:rRNA from 1 species
UACGUAGGGUGCAAGCGUUGUCCGGAAUUAUUGGGCGUAAAGAGCUCGUAGGCGGUUCGUCGCGUCGGCUGUGAAAACCCGGAGCUCAACUCCGGGCCUGCAGUCGAUACGGGCGGACUUGAGUGUUGCAGGGGAGACUGGAAUUCCUGGUGUAGCGGUGAAAUGCGCAGAUAUCAGGAGGAACACCGGUGGCGAAGGCGGGUCUCUGGGCAGCAACUGACGCUGAGGAGCGAAAGCGUGGGGAGCGAACAGG